ensembl:lncRNA
GGAAACACCUGGGGGAAGUGUUUCCAUUUUGCCUCUUUGGAGGCCAGGUGUCGGAAUGCCAAGAAAUGUGACCCAACAAGGUCACAGAGUAAAACAGUUCCUGAGUCUUUUCUGUGCAGGAAGACAGCGCAUCCCAACAGUCAGCGUGCUGAGAGCACGGCCUCUGCAGGCGGCUUCUCUGGGUCCAAAUCCCAGCCCACCACUCACCAGCUGUGUGACCUCGGGCUUUACGUAACCUCUCUGUGCCUCAGUUUGCUCGUCUGAAAAGCAAAGAUAAUGACAGUCCCUGUGGCACAGGACCAUGGAGCAGAUGAGGGCAGGAAGGUGCAGUGAAGUGCUCAGCAGGGUCGGCCCGUAGGACGCAGGGCUUAAAAUGUCAGAUGACGUCAUCGUCACCAUCACCAACACAAAUGCAUUUGAGGACACUCUGGUGACCUUCAUUCCUCACCCUGUCAGCUCCAUGCGGUGUUUUUGCUGGGAUCCCCUGGUUCAGACCUUUAUCCUGCAGAAAUGCAGGCUGAGAAGGAUGCCCUGAGGUCACCCCUCUCAUUGCCAUCACCAUGAGCAGCCUCAGUCAUCACUGAGGGCACAGCCAGUGCUUGCCCAUCAUCCCACAGAUGGCAGCACUCAACCAUUUGCAGAGCACGUGACUUCUCAUCCCCCUCCCAGCAUCAGCUGACCCUCAAUGCCCCUCCCUCAACCUAGCCUUCCUGCCUUCCCUUCCUGCUCAGGAGCCCCCCUCCUCCACGGGGGCACAGAGAGAAGAACCCUUUCAAUGCCUGAAUCAGAUCAUAGCAUCUGUUUGCAUAAAACCCUUUAGUGCCCCUCACACAGGGCAUGGGGCUGACGGGCCAGGCCCUGCCUCCUCUCAGACCCUGUCUCUGCCCACACUCCCCGCAGGCCAGCUGCCCGGCCCAUCACUGCUGCACCCCUACAUCCCUCAGGCUUGUCCCAGGUCAGGUCCCAACUCCAGGAAUGACCUUCCCUGAAUGCCUGCUGUCAGCUGCCUCCUCCUCAAGACAAGGCAGUUCAAGUGGCCCCUCCUGAAAAGGCCUCCCAUAUCCUCAGUCCGAAGCCAGCCACCCCUCCCACGUGUCAUGUCGGCUCUCCUUCCCUUCAGGAGACUCAUCGCAGUCUGACCACCACACUUACUUCAUGCACACAUUCACUAUCUCCCCCAUUCGAAUGCACGUUCCAGGAGGACAGAGACACUGGCCAGCACCGUGUCCCCGGCAUCCAUGGACUGGUGACUUCCCUGGAGGACUUGGAAUUUUGGCUGAAGUCCCAAAGCUAGCAGUACUGGACCCCAAUCAUUCUAAAGAGAGUGCAGGAGACACCCGUGGGAGCCAGUGAUCACCACCCCCAUGGGAGAGAAGAAGGACGUGUGGAAGGAGACUCCCAGGAGGGGAUUCGCAACAGGAGACACUCUUCAGCCCAGAGCAAGUGACAGCAUAUGAAGAUGCAGGAAUUUCCCUCUAGCAAAUGCCCCUCUGUAAAGUUCACACUCCCCUUCAGAGAGGUAGCACCUCUGACAAAUGCAUCUGGACAGCUGACUCCGGAGAUAAAGCUCUGUAAUGGGCCCAGAAGACUCGGGACCACUGAUGGGAGUUUCAACAAUCCAUCCCCUCCUUAACUGUGAGGGCUGUCCAUUAUCAGGAAUAAGCCUCAACAUCCAGGAUUCAGCGCAAGCUAGGCUCCCCAGGAAACCCUGGAGCUGGGAAAUCAGGAAGGGCUGUGAUGAGUGGGCUUUCUGGGACCCACCGUGCAGAUGGAAAAAGGCCGUGGGAACCAAGAGUGGGGACGGCCCCCAGUCUCAGGACCUCGAAAUGCAGGUGUCAGAAAUCUCCAUCUCCCCAGAGCCUGCCCCUCCCAUGGUCUUCCUCAGCACAGUAAAUGACAACUCUGUCCUUCCAGCGGUCCAGCCGCAUCCACCCCAACACCAAACAUCCUGCAGCUCUUCACUGAACUAUUACAGGUGCCUCUUCACUGGCCCUGGUUUCCACUCCUGCUCUCCGUACAGUUAAUCCCCCACCACAGCCAGAGGGAGCUGUCAUCAAGUCCUCUAUCCAAACCCCUUCUGUCCUGUUUACCUCAUCAGAGUAUAAUCCAAAUGUAUGUAUCAUCUAGGUUUGCCCAGGGCUUUCCCAGAGAUUUAAAAGUUCAGCUUCCUCCCAGGCCAAGGCGCCUUCCUAAAGCAAGUUUCUCAGAGCCUUGGCCUUGAUCCGUUCUCUCAUCACUUCUGGUGAGUCAAUGGGGCAGGGUUAUUAGAGUCCAACUUGGCAAGUGAGGAAAACUGAGGCACGGCCAAGGUAAGUGAUUCACCUUUCUUCAAAGGGCUCAUUACCGACGGGGUGAUUACAGGUGGUUACAGUGUGGGCCUGUGCCAGAAAUCUGGGCUGGGUCCUGGCUUGGCCGCUUUCAGGGUGAGAAAUCACUAACCGCUGUGUGCCUUGGUGUUUCCAUCUGUAAAAUGGGUAAUGAGCAUAAAUGGCCCCUGACAUUUUAUGAGCAUGAGGAAACCCAGGCAUCACCAUCGGGAAGAGCCUGACUCUGGGACCAGGACUAGACGGCGGGUCAACCCACUAGACAACUGGUCAACCCACCAGCCCCUCUACUUGCUCCAAGACCUCGGACACAUCACCAACUGCCAUCUGCUGAUGGAGAUGAUGGCAUCACACACACAGUCUCUCUGUCUCCCCUCUCUCAGGGACUGAGCUCCUGACUCAGAUGGAUGAAAAAAGGACUUUGCAGGUGUGAUCAAGCUAAGGAUCUUAGCUGGGGAGAUGAUCCUGGAUUAUCUGGGUGGGCCCAGUGUAAUCCCUGGCUCCUUAUAAAAGGGAGAAGGCCAAGUGAGAAGGGCUGCAGAGGUUAGACUGAUGCUGCCAAGAGAUGCAGACAGCCUCUAGAAGCUGCAAGAGGCAAGAAACAGAUUCUCCAUGGAGCCUUCUGGAGGAACCCGCCCGGAGACACCUGGAUUUUAGCCCCACAAGACUCAUUUCCAGUUUCUGCCCUCCAGAACUAUAGGAGAGUAAAUGUGUGUUGCUUUAAGCCACUAAAGUUGUGGUAAUUAACUACAGCUGCCUCGGAACACUAAUACCAUUGAACUUAUCCCUUACCAUUGAGAGCAUGAACUUGGCUCUCCUGGGGAUUCUUCUGGCCAGAAGUAAUACUGCUCUGAGCACAUUUACUGUUCCUUUAACAAGAGUUUCUGGGGCUGAUUCAGCAGCUCAGGCUAUUUCCCUCUUUCUCAUUCUUCAGGAUAGUAAAGUCUCUGCCCAGAAUCAAAAUAGGGCUGUCGUGGGACUGCCCUCGUAGUCCAGUGGUGAAGAAUCCACCUUCCAAUGCAGGCAAUGGGGUUCAAGUCCUGGCUGGGGAGCUAAUAUCCCACCUGCAGCAGAGCAACUAAGCCCACACCCCCAACUAGAGAGCCUGUGCACCCCAGUGAGAAGCCCUGGCACUGCAACUCGAGAAAGUCCACGCACCAGGGCGAAGACCCAACACAGCCCCCCCAAAAAAAAUAAGGAAUGUAGUGGGCUUCCUCAUGAGGGAAAGGGAAAUCAAAAACCACAAUGAGAUGUCACUUCAAACCCACUAGGGUGGCGACAAUAAUAAUACUUUUUUAAAAAACCAAAAAAAAAACGAAAAUAGGGACUUCUCUGGUAGUCCAGUGGCUAAGAUUACAAACUCCCAGUGCAGGGGAUCAGGUUCAAUCUCUGGUCAGAGAACUAGAUCCCACAUGCCACAACUAAGACUUCAAACUCCACAACUAAAAAACCCAUGUAGCCAAAUAAAUAAAUAUUAAAAAAUAAUGAUAAAUGUUCUAAAAAUAGGACCGUCAUAACCC